ACUCCCUGCUGCGUGGGGUCGGCCGCCGCUCUCGCUGGCCGGGUUGCUGUCAUGGCUGAGGAGCGGCUGCCGGGUCCGCCGCGCGGCUGAGACGCGCGCGAAGCACAGCCGAGCAGAGGCCGGCGAAGACGGGAGCAGGUGCCCCAGAGCAGGGCAGGGAACCGAGAGACAGGCGGGAUGCGCCCCCGGGGGCGCUAGGAUUGAUGCAGAUGCUGAGGGGCGGGUUAUGCAUAUUGGCUGGCGUGAACAAACUACCAAGAACUACCAACAUAUGAACAGAGUUACCUUGGAGAGACAAAUGAGGAUGAGUGACCGAACACUAACUGUAAUAGCUGCUAUACAGAAGGCAGAACAUGUGAACAUAUUAUAACAAGUCUGAAAUGAAGAAGUGAAGUCACUGUAGCUGCCCAUUGCAGAAGGAGAUAAACUCUUGAUGUUUUAGGCAGAGAAGCAAAUAAUGCAUGCACAUGUAUGGUUUGUUUUUCUGUUCUUACCCAAGGACCCUAAAACAAUACUGUUUGGUUAACUAAUAAAAGCUAUCUUGUUUUGAAAAA